UUGGCCUCAUUUUCAGGCUGGAGCCUAUCCCAGCAGUCAAGGGGCGUGAUGCAGGGUACCCCCAGGACAAGAUGCCAGUCUAUUGCAGAGCCACAUAUAGA